rnacentral:sRNA from 1 species
GCCAAUAACUUUUUUAUUCGUGGAAUUUCACGAAAUAUAUACAAAAAAUAUAUAAUUUCUUUAUAUUAUACCACGAAAGCAUACACCACAUUUCACACUUGAAUCCCAAAGAGAAAUCAGACACUACUUUCUAAUGAAGAAUUAGUUAUCUAGUACCAUAGAA